CAACUGGUGACAGUGACGGUGUUGGUGCCGGUGUUGGUGACAGCGAUGGUGUUGGUGACGGUGACAAUGUUGGUGACAGUGACAGCGACUGUAGCUCUGAUAGUGAUGGUGACAAGCAGUGAUGGUGACAACGGUGGUGACCAUGGCACCAACAAUUGGUGACAGUGACGGUGACGGUGUUGGUGACAGUGAUAGUGACAGUGACAGCGACUGUAGCUGUGAUAGUGACAGUGACAAAGAGUGAUGGUGACAACAGCAGUGUCCGUGGCAACAAGAAUUGGUGACAGUGAUAGUGAUGGUGACAGUGACAGUGAUGGUGACAACGGUGGUGUCCAUGGCAACAACAACUGGUGACAGUGACAGUAACAGUGACAGUGACAGUGUUGGUGACAGUGACAGCGGUUGUAGCUGUGAUAGUGACGGUGACAAGCAGUGAUGGUGACAACGGUGGUGUCUAUGGCAACAACAAUUGGUGACAGUGACGGUGACAGUCUUGGUGACAGUGAUGGCGUUGGUGACGGUGACAAUGUUGGUGACAACGACCGGUGACAGUGAUGGUGUUGGUGAUGGUGAUGGUGAUGGUGUUGGUGACAAUGUUGGUGACAAUGUUGGUGACAGCGACAGCGACUGUAGCUGUGAUAGUGACAGUGACAAGCAGUGAUGGUGACAACAGCGGUGUCCAUGGCAACAACAAUUGGUGACAGUGACGGUGCUGGUGCCGGUGCUGGUGCCGGUGCUGGUGACGGUGAUGGUGACGGUGAUGGUGACGGUGACAGUCUUGGUGAUGGUGACGGUGAUGGUGACAGUGAUGGUAACGGUGUUGGUGCCGGUGAUGGUGACGGUG
rnacentral:lncRNA from 1 species